UGGGGCAUAGCCAAAUGGUAAGGCAACAGACUUUGACUCCGUGAUUUGGAGGUUCGAAUCCUCCUGCCUCAG
rnacentral:tRNA from 1 species